UACGAACGCUGGCGGCGUGCUUAACACAUGCAAGUCGAACGGAAAGGCCCUGCUUUUGUGGGGUGCUCGAGUGGCGAACGGGUGAGUAACACGUGAGUAACCUGCCCUUGACUUUGGGAUAACUUCAGGAAACUGGGGCUAAUACCGGAUAGGAGCUCCUGCUGCAUGGUGGGGGUUGGAAAGUUUCGGCGGUUGGGGAUGGACUCGCGGCUUAUCAGCUUGUUGGUGGGGUAGUGGCUUACCAAGGCUUUGACGGGUAGCCGGCCUGAGAGGGUGACCGGCCACAUUGGGACUGAGAUACGGCCCAGACUCCUAUGGGAGGCAGCAGUGGGGAAUAUUGCACAAUGGGCGGAAGCCUGAUGCAGCAACGCCGCGUGCGGGAUGACGGCCUUCGGGUUGUAAACCGCUUUCGCCUGUGACGAAGCGUGAGUGACGGUAAUGGGUAAAGAAGCACCGGCUAACUACGUG
rnacentral:rRNA from 1 species